UUUUUAUCGUCUUCUUACGUUCGUAUCGUGAUACAUUUUUAAUUUGUUCUGUACUUUUACUUUUUUGUGUGAAGGAUAUCAAGAACUUAAUUUCCAUUCCGGAAUAUGGAAUGGAACCAAAAAAAUUAAGAAGAGCCCAAGAACUAAAAAGACUUUCUCCUUCCAUUUUCUUCUCGCCUUCCAGCCUCUCCGGCGAAGAAAAACAAAAAUGAAUUCCUGAUCUUAUUGCAACAAAAUCUAUGCAAAAAGGUAUUCCAUUCCGACAUGCAAAUUCUUUUCAGACCACUCGAGUUUUACUUCAAACCAAGAAACUUCGUGGUCGAUCUUCUGUGAUACAGGUAAGAAUAAAUUUGUCAAGUACGAAAGAAAGAAAAAUCGAAUUUUCUAAUCGUGGUCAAGUAUAACUCAACAACUGAAAAUUAUAAAAGAAAAUGGUCCAAAACAUAAGCUACGUGAAAAGUGUCCUCUAUCUCCCGCCCAAGCUUCAACACUCGGAGAGGAAAGAAAUCGUCAAACUAUGGAACUCAAGCUUAUUACGAUAUUUUGGAUAUAUCGACACGACAUGCAUACACGUUGAUAUUUUUUUUAAAGGGUUAUAAGAGCUAAAUUCACAUCAGAAACGUGUAACGAUUAAUAAUGAACCGAUGAAUUAAUAUGUGAUAGAAAGGG